rnacentral:rRNA from 1 species
UACAGAGGUCUCGAGCGUUGUUCGGAUUCAUUGGGCGUAAAGGGUGCGUAGGUGGCGCUGUAAGUCAUGUGUGAAAUUUCGGAGCUUAACUCCGAAACUGCAUUUGAUACUGCGGUGCUUGAGGACUGGAGAGGAGACUGGAAUUUACGGUGUAGCAGUGAAAUGCGUAGAGAUCGUAAGGAAGACCAGUGGCGAAGGCGGGUCUCUGGACAGUUCCUGACAGUGAGGCACGAAGGCCAGGGGAGCAAACGGG